UUUUGCCUACGGGGGGCAGCAGUGAGGAAUAUUGGUCAAUGGGCGGAAGCCUGAACCAGCCAAGUCGCGUGAGGGAAUAAGGCCCUACGGGUCGUAAACCUCUUUUGCCGGGGAACAAGGGCGGGGACGGGUCCCGGCCCGGAGAGGACCCGGAGAAAAAGCAUCGGCUAACUCCGUGCCAGCAGCCGCGGUAAUACGGAGGAUGCGAGCGUUAUCCGGAUUUAUUGGGUUUAAAGUGUGCGUA
rnacentral:rRNA from 1 species